rnacentral:lncRNA from 1 species
CCUUCCUCCCGUUUUCCAGGGAUGCUGUUCUCCUGGGGCAGCCGGCGUGGCCAGGCCCCGAGGUUCUGGUGAAUUGAGAGAGAGGGUCUUACCCACCCGCCUCCCCUCAAGGAACUUGACUGAACAAAUCAGUGCCCCUGGCACCUGGCCCAGCACCUGGCACGCAACCAGCGCCCAGCACCUGUGCACUGAAGUAUAGAAAGGGCCCCAGGAGUCUGUGCAUGUCCACCUCCUCCAGGAAGCCCAAAAGCCCUCCCUGCCCCACUGGUCCAGUCUCACCAGUUUUCCCAGCUCUCUGUGGCAAUGAGCUAGAAUGAGAGAUAUGUGAGCAUUGCAACAUCCUCUCUCUUUGCCCUCGAGGAACUGGGAAGAUAGCAUCUAUAUGGACUCCACAAGAGGGUUAGCAAUCCAGAUGGUGGGCAAGAGUACCAGAAAAGAAUCAACAAGAAAGUUUAAAAAUGAUCCAGAUAACCCCUGGUUCUUGCUUCUUUUAAAUGCAUAUGGAGAAGAGUUGAAAUGCUAUAGAAAAACAAGGAUGUGAAGUAAAACUCUCUCUUUGCUUCCCUCCCCCGUUCCACUUCCUCUUCCUAAAGCCUUGUGCCAUUCACGGUUUCUUACAUAUCUCUCCGGAAAAGGUUUAACGCAUUUGUCAGCAUCAUAAAUGCAUUAUGUAUAUCCUAUUCUUAGAAGAAGGUUCUCCCAGAAGUUAGGAGAGGUUGCUCUCUCUGCCCGAUGGUAGUUCAUUUUUAUGGGGUUUUCUCCUGUCCUGUCCUAACUGCAUUUAAGAACCAGUCCAAGGAACCAGGUGUCCUGUGUAGCCCAGCCUUGGGCUAACUGGGUGACAUCAGCAAGUCACUUCACCUCACUGAGGCUCAGUUUUCUCAUGGUGAAAAUGGGGAUUCUGGUGGGGGUGCCUUGGUAGUGUGCCUGCAGCAAGGCCUGGUUAGCUGGGAGGCGUGCCAUGCAUAUCAGAGCAUUCUCUUAGC